UACGUAGGGUGCGAGCGUUACUCGGAAUUACUGGGCGUAAAGCGUGCGCAGGCGGUUCGUUAUGUCCGAUGUGAAAGCCCCGAGCUCAACUUGGGAAUGGCAUUGGAAACUGGCGGGCUGGAGUGUGGCAGAGGGGGGUGGAAUUCCACGUGUAGCAGUGAAAUGCGUAGAGAUGUGGAGGAACACCGAUGGCGAAGGCAGCCCCCUGGGCCAACACUGACGCUCAGGCACGAAAGCGUGGGGAGCAAACAGG
rnacentral:rRNA from 1 species